rnacentral:tRNA from 1 species
UGAGGAUAUAGCUCAGUGGUGGAGUGCUUGCCUAGCAUGUGAAAAGUCCUGGGUUCAAUCCUCAGUACCACAA